AUGUCACGGUUGAUUAAAUUUAUUAGUUUGACAUCACACGGGCAACCAAAUGCUUCUAUGCACAUCAGACCACAUUCUUUUCACAUCUCAUGACAGAAUAUUGAUCUGUUCGUAUUUUAAGAUCAUUUAAGUUAUUGUUAUAGUUUGUUCAAUUUCUCUGGUCUUCAUAUUACAGAUAUGUUAACAAAGAAAGACCAUUUUGGCAACAUAUAGUUAGUUCUUCGACUGGCUGUUCCGACUCUCAGUACUUUCAGGAGCUGUAUAACUAUUUUACUACUGAAAAUGUUCUCUCACUUUGAAUUACCAUUUCUUUUUUACAGCAAAUUGGUUUAUUAUUCGAGUUGACUAACGAAACAUCUCCACUAAUAAGAAGUCACUCAAUAAUUUUACUUUCAUUUGUCAUUCUUCAAUAGGUGGCUUGGCAUCUUUGUGAUCCAGAUUCUGAGAAGGUAUUUAAGGCCCUUAGAGCGGCAGGAGUGAAGUUGGCUGUAGUGUCGAAUUUUGACACUCAGUUGAGACCAGUUUUGAGGGCUCUGAACUGUGAUCACUGGUUUGAUGCCGUAGCAGUUUCCACUGAGGUAGAAGCAGAGAAGCCUAAUCCAACAAUAUUUUUAAAAGCGUGCGAGUUACUAGAAGUAAAUCCAGAUGACGUUGUUCAUAUUGCAGUCCUCCCAACCAUGCUGGACCUGCUUUUUUUCUGAAGCGACAAAGCAUAAGGAUGGUGGACCACUGGAUAAGGAAUUUUCAAAUACAAUU